rnacentral:rRNA from 1 species
GACGAACGCUGGCGGCGUGCUUAACACAUGCAAGUCGAACGGAAAGGCCCUGCUUUUGUGGGGUGCUCGAGUGGCGAACGGGUGAGUAACACGUGAGUAACCUGCCCUUGACUUUGGGAUAACUUCAGGAAACUGGGGCUAAUACCGGAUAGGAGCUCCUGCUGCAUGGUGGGGGUUGGAAAGUUUCGGCGGUUGGGGAUGGACUCGCGGCUUAUCAGCUUGUUGGUGGGGUAGUGGCUUACCAAGGCUUUGACGGGUAGCCGGCCUGAGAGGGUGACCGGACACAUUGGGACUGAGAUACGGCCCAGACUCCUACGGGAGGAAGCAGUGGGGAAUAUUGCACAAUGGGCGGAAGCCUGAUGCAGCAACGCCGCGUGCGGGAUAACGGCCUUCGGGUUGUAAACCGCUUUCGCCUGUGACGAAGCGUGAGUGACGGUAAUGGGUAAAGAAGCACCGGCUAACUACGUG